rnacentral:rRNA from 1 species
GACGAACGCUGGCGGCGUGCUUAACACAUGCAAGUCGAACGGAAAGGCACUGCUUUUGUGGGGUGCUCGAGUGGCGAACGGGUGAGUAACACGUGAGUAACCUGCCCUUGACUUUGGGAUAACUUCAGGAAACUGGGGCUAAUACCGGAUAGGAGCUCCUGCUGCAUGGUGGGGGUUGGAAAGUUACGGCGGUUGGGGAUGGACUCGCGGCUUAUCAGCUUGUUGGUGGGGUAGUGGCUUACCAAGGCUUUGACGGGUAGCCGGCCUGAGAGGGUGACCGGCCACAUUGGGACUGAGAUACGGCCCAGACUCCUACGGGAGGCAGCAGUGGGGAAUAUUGCACAAUGGGCGGAAGCCUGAUGCAGCAACGCCGCGUGCGGGAUGACGGCCUUCGGGUUGUAAACCGCUUUCGCCUGUGACGAAGCGUGAGUGACGGUAAUGGGUAAAGAAGCACCGGCUAACUACGUG